AACGAACGCUGGCGGCAGGCCUAACACAUGCAAGUCGAGCGAGACCUUCGGGUUUAGCGGCGGACGGGUUAGUAACGCGUGGGAACGUACCCAGAUCUAAGGAAUAGCCACUGGAAACGGUGAGUAAUACCUUAUACGCCCUUCGGGGAAAGAUUUAUCGGAUUUGGAUCGGCCCGCGUUAGAUUAGAUAGUUGGUGGGGUAACGGCCUACCAAGUCUACGAUCUAUAGCUGGUUUUAGAGGAUGAUCAGCAACACUGGGACUGAGACACGGCCCAGACUCCUACGGGAGGCAGCAGUGGGGAAUCUUAGACAAUGGGGGCAACCCUGAUCUAGCCAUGCCGCGUGAGUGACGAAGGCCCUAGGGUCGUAAAGCUCUUUCGCCAGGGAUGAUAAUGACAGUACCUGGUAAAGAACCCCGGCU
rnacentral:rRNA from 1 species